rnacentral:rRNA from 1 species
GAUGAACGCUGGCGGCGUGCUUAACACAUGCAAGUCGAACGAUGAAGCCCAGCUUGCUGGGUGGAUUAGUGGCGAACGGGUGAGUAACACGUGAGUAACCUGCCCUUGACUCUGGGAUAAGCCUGGGAAACUGGGUCUAAUACUGGAUAUGACUUCUCAUCGCAUGGUGGGGAGUGGAAAGAUUUAUUGGUCUUGGAUGGACUCGCGGCCUAUCAGCUUGUUGGUGAGGUAAUGGCUCACCAAGGCGACGACGGGUAGCCGGCCUGAGAGGGUGACCGGCCAGACUGGGAGUGAGACACGGGCCGGACGCCUACGGGAGGCAGCGGUGGGGUAUGAUGCACGAUGGGCGCAAGCCUGGUGCAGCGCGGCCGCGUGAGGGAUGACGGCCUUCGGGUAGUAGACCUCGUACAGUAGGGAAGAAGCGAGAGUGAAGGUACCGGAAGAAGAAGCGCCGGAUAAGUACGUG